UACGGAGGGGGCGAGCGUUGUCCGCAGUUACUAGGCGUAAAGCGCGUGUAGGCGGGUUGUCAAGUCCGCUGUGAAAGCCCGAGGCUCAACCUCGGAGGGUCGGUGGAUACUGACAGUCUUGAAGGUGCUAGGGGGAGAUGGAAUUACCGGUGUAGCGGUGAAAUGCGUAGAGAUCGGUAGGAACACCAGUGGCGAAGGCGGUCUCCUGGGGCAUUCUUGACGCUGAGACGCGAAAGCGUGGGGAGCGAACAGG
rnacentral:rRNA from 1 species